rnacentral:rRNA from 1 species
UGGAUCCAGACUUUGAUUAUGGCUCAGGAUGAACGCUAGCUACAGGCUUAACACAUGCAAGUCGAGGGGAAACGACAUUGAAAGCUUGCUUUCGAUGGGCGUCGACCGGCGCACGGGUGAGUAACGCGUAUCCAACCUGCCCAUCACUUGGGGAUAACCUUGCGAAAGUAAGACUAAUACCCAAUGACGUCUCUAGAAGACAUCUGAAAGAGAUUAAAGAUUUAUCGGUGAUGGAUGGGGAUGCGUCUGAUUAGCUUGUUGGCGGGGUAACGGCCCACCAAGGCGACGAUCAGUAGGGGUUCUGAGAGGAAGGUCCCCCACAUUGGAACUGAGACACGGUCCUAACUCCUACGGGAGGCAGCAGUGAGGAAUAUUGGUCAAUGGACGAGAGUCUGAACCAGCCAAGUAGCGUGCAGGAUGACGGCCCUAUGGGUUGUAAACUGCUUUUAUAAGGGAAUAAAGUGAGUCUCGUGAGACUUUUUGCAUGUACCUUAUGAAUAA